ACCAAUUCCAGCUUGCUAUUAUGGCCACAAAUCUCCCCAAUAGGAGGACACAAAAGUAAUGAUGAUUUCCCAACUGAGAAUAAAGAAAACAAUGGAAAAUAAGAUUGCCUAUCUAUGACAAUGUAUUUAACCAUUAGGUCUCUAUUCUCAAUAGGAGACCAGAAGUCAUCCUGACAUCAUAGAACAUAAUCUGUCCAUUGUCCAGAGUGGUACCACUUAUCUUUGGGGACCAGUAAAUGCAGGAUAGAUUCAGAAAUGGUCCCAUUUUAUGACCUCUACUAUUUUACAGCAUAUAAAUAGUUCCAACUUAUAACUGUACUAGACACCGGCUUUUCUGUGGGUUUCCAUCAACUGGAAUGAAUUUGCACAUAAGUAAAGCUAAAAAUGUUUUUGUGGAGCCUUCAGCUAUAAGAAGAAACAGGUCAUCACUAUGUAGCUCAGAACUACUGUGAUAAAGACAUUGAAGGCAUUCUCAUAGACAGUGAAGUCCUCUGAAGAGAAAAUACUGAGUUGGAAGUGAGAAGUGUCUGAAGAGCUUGAAGAGAACUGAAGAGCUCUCUUAGUCACAGAGCAUUGUUCUCCAUCCAUACCCAAGGAUUUGGAACUCAGAACAUUAUUGGUCAUGACCUCCCUAACUUCUCAAGGAGGUGUUCUUCAGUUUUCCUAUAAAGAUAAUUCAGAUGGAAGUGAUUUCUUGGCAUGAUGCUUCAUCCUUCAAUAUGUUGUUUACAAGAAACACACUUGAAGCAGAGACAUCAACAAA